rnacentral:rRNA from 1 species
UACGUAGGGAGCAAGCGUUGUCCGGAAUCAUUGGGCGUAAAGGGCGCGUAGGCGGUGCGGUAAGUCUGCGGUGAAAUCUCCCGGCUCAACUGGGAGUCUGCCGUGGAAACUGCCGUGCUUGAGUGUGGGAGAGGUGAGUGGAAUUCCAGGUGUAGCGGUGAAAUGCGUAGAUAUCUGGAGGAACACCGGUGGCGAAGGCGGCAUCCUGGACCAUGACUGACGCUGAGGAGCGAAAGCCAGGGGAGCAAACGGG